rnacentral:lncRNA from 1 species
GUGAGGCCCUAAGAGGUGGAGGACCAGAGGAUGGGAUUCCCCUUGUGUUGCUGUGGAAACCGUUGGAAGGGAAGCAGCAAAACCAGGGCUGGCAGGGAGUGCUGGGCGGUGUGCGGGGCGGCUGCAGAGGCAGGGCUGUGCUGACAUCACGUGGGGAGGCGGCGUGGGGAAGGGAGAGCAAGGGAGGCUGCAGAGGGAAGAGAGCUGCAUCCGACUGGGCUCCAGGCAAGCGCCCGUCGGGACGCGGUGUCCGGCGCCCGUCGCUCCCGGAUCGCCCGCAGCUCGUUCAUACCGUCGCCUGGCAACCGCCGCCCCGUCGCCAUGGGCUCUGAGCGGGACUCCGAAUCGCCGCGCUCCUCCUCCAUCCACUCGGCCGCCGCCAAGUGCCCGAAGCCCGGCCGCCGCCGCCGCCUCUCCUUCCAGAGCG